CUCAUUGGGUUAUUUAGUGAAUGCGCAUUUUAACUGGAAGAUAUAUACAGUAUCGAAUACAUACGCCGUAGGGAGCGAAGUUCCCUUACUGUAAGAAACAAAAAUGGCAGAUAGAGACCAUGACAAUCAUUUUCUCCCUUGUCUACAACACUACAAAAACGGCAAAUAAGCGAAAGAGGACUUAGACCAUGUAUCUAUAGCUAGCAACCAGGAACCCAAACUAACAGCACUUCGUGCUUUUUUUGGAACAGGUUGUUCAGUGUUUCCAAAUUUCAUUCAGAACGUCAUUCUCUAUCGGGCAUUGGCGUGGAACCGCUUUCUGACCGAUUUCCUGAGAUUGCUCAUGACAGCCAGUGCUACGAGCUGGCCUGACGGACAGAAACUGGAUCUUAUCGUAGCAUGGCUAUCAAGGGGGCUCGACAAGCCUCUUUAUCUCCCAGCAACACACUCCCUAGGCCUCGCAGGGGUGGAGAGAGAGAGAGAGAAUGUUGCAACACAUCCAGCUGGGAAUUAGUGGGAUUUUCAGUCAAGGAGUUUCACCAAGUGAAACCGACUACUUAUCCCAGGGGGCUGAUGUACUAUGCUGCCAUACAGAUACCGCCUGACAAUAAAGACGCAGCUGGCCUAAUCCAACUACGUUACACCUGUUGUCCAGCGUUUAAAUGGAUGUGUAACUACAAAGACUAGGGGCCAGUUUCGUGAACACAGAUUACUUUCGACUUUGAGUUCAUGUACUUUUUUGUGUUGAUCAUUGACAAAAAUGGAUAAUUAAAUUAAUUUAGAUUUUGUGUCGUAAAAUACUGAGAAGUCCUCGUGGGGUGAACACUUUUGUGGGGCACUGUAGAACCUUUAAAUUAUUAGUUUGUUGUUGACAUACGUGGUUCAGGACUCGUGUCUUUUUUUUCUGAAGUUGAAAAGACUGUUGGACUCAUCAGUCAAACACUCUGUGUGCAGGUGGUUUUCAUCAGAGAAAUACAAGCUUCAUCUAAAUGUGCUACAUUGAGUAAUGUUGCUGUAACACAAGCAAAUGUGCAUGCAUCUUAAAACCC
ensembl:lncRNA